rnacentral:lncRNA from 1 species
UGGACUUCCAGUCUCCAGAGCUAGGAGGAAAUAUUUACACCAUCCAGGCUGUGGCACUUUGUCACGGCAGCCACAGCAAACUGAUACAGAAGGGAACUGGCCCGGCGGGCAAGGAGGACAGCUUUGCUAAGGGAUACCUACAGGAGACCAGCGCUACGGAGCUAUGACCAGAGCUGUUUGGACUUAUGGGUUGACUUUACUGAUAAAAGCACUUGGAAUGGGUCUGGAGUGCAGGGAUGGGGAGCCGAAGUUAACAAGAUAUGCAAGUGAAUCCUGGCCUAAGAGCUCCAGGGCCUAG